GACAGAGGGUGCAAGCGUUAAUCGGAAUUACUGGGCGUAAAGAGCGCGUAGGUGGUUUGAUAAGCUAGAUGUGAAAGCCCUGGGCUCAACCUGGGGUUGCCAUUUAGUACUGUUAGACUAGAGUACGAGAGAGGGAAGUGGAAUUUCCGGAGUAGCGGUGAAAUGCGUAGAUACCGGAAGGAACACCAGUGGCGAAGGCGGCUUCCUGGCUCGAUACUGACACUGAGGCGCGAAAGCGUGGGUAGCAAACAGG
rnacentral:rRNA from 1 species